AGAAUGAGAAGCCGGAGUCAUCCAUUAAUCCACGGGCAAAGUACCAUUCAAGCAGCCGCGGUGAAAGCUCUCACACGCUGCCCUGGAAAUAACCCCAGCCCUGACGUGGUUAAGAUGACCCUAGGUAAGGUCAGAAGCUCAGAAGCUUCUCGUUUUCAUUUUAAGCUUCU
ensembl:misc_RNA